AUAGCAAUUUCUAGUACAUUUACAUUGGGUAAUUUCCUAUAUUCCAUUAAAUAUUGGUAUGCUGUCUCAUUUUUUUCUAGUUGUUAAAGAAACAACACUACACUGCCUUGUUUAAGCUCUACAAAACAUUAACAGAAAAUUUUUGCCAGUAAUGGUGGAUCAAUCUCCUGCAUAUAAUGGGCUAUUAUUGUUGCUAAUUUUUGUUGGAAAACUUUAUGCUUUUAUAGCAGUAAUUGCUAUUUAUAAUCAAAGAUUGUGUAUAUCAGAAUGGUUACAUUCUCCUCAUUUUUCAGGCUGUAAUUUUCUGCCUUUGGCUGAUAUAUGCAUAAUUAACUGCUGAUGGUUGCACUAAAAUUUUAUCUUUAACAGGCAUGGACAUUCAUGUUUUAUAUCUCACUUAUGGAAAAAUUCUACAUCUCCAAUACUUACAAUUUUUCUCCUAUUAUCAAGUUGAAUUAAUAGAUUAUUUUUAAGCACUUAUUUCUUUUCACAUGUCUCAUGAUGGGUGAGGCUCUUUAUUAUGUCAUAUUACACACUCCCCCUCUUUCUUGAUCUCUACCAUUCUUCUUAUAGCUGGGUUGAUGUUGUAUACGGAUGGAGGUAAGCAAAGCAGGUAUUAUCUGUUUUUAUUAAUGAUAAAUUCCUGGACCUCUGAUGGAAGGUAACACACAGAUGCGACUCUGAGAUCUCUUUAUACUUUAUUUUCAGAUGCUGUAGAAGCUCAUAGAUAUUUUCAUCAAAACCCUCGCUCACUAAUGAAGAUGUUUUCCAUUUUUUCCCAACAGGUUGUGCCAUUGUCAGUAACUGUUCUCACUGUAUGCCCUUCUGGGACCCCAUGUGGGAAUCUGUAAAUCCACAGGGCCUACAGUCUAAUGCACUUUGGGAAAUGGAUAAUGUCCAUUUCCUUUCCAUCUCCCUUUUACCCUUUUUCCUUUCUCCAUAUUUCCAUUAAGACUCAUUCUGGGUUCAUUUGGGCUAGUGCCCAUAGGUCUGAAAAGGUACCUGCUUGCAUUUCUCAUUUAUUACUCUACUUUGCCACUAUGGGCAAAUACAUUUAAAAAUGUAUCAAUUUUUAAAUAUAUGCCCCUUCAUAUAUGUCCUAUUCUUUUGCAUAAUUUUGUACUCAUUGGAUUAACUGUCAGGCUUACAAACAAACUAUGAAAUUGGCCUGUGAUAUGGUGAAAAAUAUGAAUUAUAACUCUAUGGAAAUCAAUAUGCUAAAUGAAGCACAAAAAUCAUCAAGUCAUUCUUCACAAUUGGGCUGCAAAUGAUUAUUUAUUAGUAUUAUAUCAUAAAGGCUGUAAUAAUCUUAACAAUAUAUGUUGCUUUAAUUUAAGUGACAAUAGUACCUCUAGUUCAAAAGAGUUAUAUUACCUUAUAGACAUCAUUAGAAAGAUCCAACUGGAUUAUGGAAGUUUAGAUAUACUGGAUUGGUUAAUCGUGUGGUUAACCAAUCUUACUUGGAUUAAACAACUAGUCAUAGGUGAGUGUCUACUAAUACUCAGAUUGUUGUUUUGUUUUUGUUAUUAUCAUAGCCUACCCUAUUUUUUACCUCCACCAAUAUUGAAAAACAAAACAAACCCCAAAUGUUAUCCCUCCAAAAGGCCACACAAACCAAAAAAGAAGAAGCUAUAAGUGUGUGACUGUGGAAAUGUACUAAACAGCAAGUGUCUCUGGUGAGCAAAUUCUUGGAGAAUAAAGGUGUCCUGUUUCCCACAGCUGGAACAUUCUGCAGUUUCUCCCAGACACUAUUACGAUAACUAAUGCAUGGUCGACCAGAACACCUAAUGUACUAAUGGUGCAGUGAGCUAAUGUAACCUAUCAGUAUAAAUAAAGACAGCUGCUUAGACAAGCAGCCAUUUUGCCCCUGCAUCUUGUUUCUUUCUCUUUUUGUUCCCUUACAGUCUC
rnacentral:lncRNA from 1 species